GACGAACGCUGGCGGCGUGCUUAACACAUGCAAGUCGAACGGAAAGGCCCUGCUUUUGUGGGGUGCUCGAGUGGCGAACGGGUGAGUAACACGUGGGUGAUCUGCCCUGUACUUCGGGAUAAGCUUGGGAAACUGGGUCUAAUACCGGAUAGGAAUCACAUGUGGGUGUGUGGUUGGAAAGCUUUUGCGGUAUGGGAUGAGCUCGCGGCCUAUCAGCUUGUUGGUGGGGUAAUGGCCUACCAAGGCGUCGACGGGUAGCCGGCCUGAGAGGGUGUACGGCCACAUUGGGACUGAGAUACGGCCCAGACUCCUACGGGAGGCAGCAGUGGGGAAUAUUGCACAAUGGGCGCAAGCCUGAUGCAGCGACGCCGCGUGGGGGAUGACGGCCUUCGGGUUGUAAACUCCUUUCGUCAGGGACGAAGCGAGAGUGACGGUACCUGGAUAAGAAGCACCGGCUAACUACGUGC
rnacentral:rRNA from 1 species